rnacentral:rRNA from 1 species
AGCGAACGUUUGCGGCGGGCUUAACACAUGCAAGUCGAACGAGAAUCCCUUCGGGGAGGAAAGUGGCGCACGGGUGCGUAACACGUGGAUAACCAACCCAUUGGUUUGGGACAACACCGGGAAACUGGUGCUAAUACCAGAUGUGUCGCAGCUGUCUUCAGGCGGUUGCGAGAAAGGCCCGCAAGGGUCGCCAACGGACGGGUCCGCGUCCCAUCAGCUAGUUGGUGAGGUAAUGGCUCACCAAGGCAAAGACGGGUAGCUGGUCUGAGAGGAUGAUCAGCCACACUGGAACUGAGACACGGCCCAGACUCCUACGGGAGGCAGCAGUAGGGAAUAUUGGACAAUGGGGGGAACCCGUGAUCCAGCCAUGCCGCGUGAGGGAAGAAGGUCCUCUGGAUUGUAAACCUCUUUUGGCAGGAAACAAACCUGCGCUAUACGCGCAGCUGAGGGUACCGUGCAGAAUAAAGCACCGGCGUAACUCCGUGCCAGCAGCCGCGGUAAUGUAGUCG